AGCUCCUACGGGACGCAGCAGUGGGGAAUAUUGCACAAUGGGGGAAACCCUGAUGCAGCGACGCCGCGUGGGUGACGAAGGAUUUCGGAAUGUAAAGCCCUAUCAGCAGGGAAGAAGAUGACAGUACCUGACCAAGAAGCCCCGGAUAACUACGUGCCAGAAGCCGCGGUAAUACGUAGGGGGCAAGCGUUAUCCGGAUUGAAUGGGUGUAAAGGGAGCGUAGGUGGCAUGGCAA
rnacentral:rRNA from 1 species